UCCCCAUCACUAUUUUGUUUCCUUUUAUCCUAAUUAACCUAAACUCUAAUUCAUUUUUUUCCUCACCAGCUGACUCUAUCUUUCUCUCUACCUUCUCUUUAUCUCUCUUACUCUCUCCAUCAUGGCUGCCGCCGGUCGGCGACCACACGACCCCUUUCCCUUCCUCCUCUCCACCACCAACGAAACCCUAACCCUAGUCAUCGUCGUUGCUUCAAAUCUGAGCCACCACCGCCAAACCAGUCGGAGAAACGCAUCACCAACGCCGGUGCCGUCCCCUCGCCUCCUUCUAAUGCGAUCGUCACCUUACAUUUGAUGCAAGAACCUUGGUUCAACAAGCUCGAAAUGAAGCUGCUAAGUUGCUCAGACUCUUCAAAAAUGUUGUCGCACCCAUAUAUGAGUCUGAUUUUCCUAGGUGAAAUGAUUUUGUGUUGGACAUUUUGGAAGUGAUUUUCAGUAGAAGUGAAUAAGAUAGGAUUUGCAAGUUUUAAUUUUAGGCAAUUUUUCUUUGAGAAGUAUUGUGACCAUCAAUUAGAAGUAUUAGAAAAUGUACCUUUCGAUAUUGAUCUAUUCUUUGUAGCUUCCCUGAGUUGGAUUGUACAAGAAUAUCUAGCUUACAAUGCACUCUCGACAUUUUUUUUGAAUGUUUAACUUAUAGUGAACUCAAGAAAAAGAAGAAAAGAAAAUUUAGUUAUUUAUGUGAAUAUUUGAUAAGAAACUGCUUUGUU